UUUUGGAAAGUGUAGGGGACAAUUUCCUGGUGCAAGUGCUGGAAGAACCAACUAGGGGCAGAGCUUUUCUUGACCUGCUGCUCACAAACAGGGAAGAAUUAGUAGAGGAAGCAAAAGUGGAUGGGAACCUGGGAGGCAGUGACCAUGAGAUGGUCGAGUUCAGGAUCCUGACACAAGGAAGAAAGGAGAGCAGCAGAAUACGGACCCUGGACUUCAGAAAAGCAGACUUUGACUCCCACAGGGAACAGAUGGGCAGGAUCCCCUGGGAGAAUAACAUGAAGCGCAAAGGGGUCCAGGAGAGCUGGCUGUAUUUUAAAGAAUCCUUAUUGCGGUUGCAGGAACAAACCAUCCCGACGUGUAGAAAGAAUAGUAAAUAUGGCAGGCGGCCAGCUUGGCUUAACAGUGAAAUCCUUGCUGACCUUAAAUGCAAAAAAGAAGCGUACAAGAAGUGGNNNNNNNNNNUCACAGAAGUUGGGGAAAUCUCUAACGUACUCAAUGCUUUUUUUGCCUCUGCCUUCACAAACAAGGUCAGCUCCCAGACUGCUGGACUGGGCAGCACAGUAUGGGUAGGAGGUGACCAGCCCUCCGUGGAGAAAGAAGUGGUUCGGGACUAUUUAGAAAAACUGGAUGAGCACAAAUCCAUGGGGCGGAAUGCGCUGCAUCUGAGGGUGCUAAAGGAAUUGGCGGAUGUGAUUGCGAAGCCAUUGGCCAUCAUCUUUGAAAACUCAUGGCGAUUGGGGGUGGUCCCGGAUGACUGGAAAAAGGCUAAUGUAGUGCCCAUCUUUAAAAAAGGGAAGGAGGAGGAUCCGGGGAAAUACAGGCCAGUCAGCCUCACCUCAGUCCCUGGAAAAAUCAUGGAGCAGGUCCUCAAGGAAUCAAUUCUGAAACACUUAGAGGAGAGGAAAGUGAUCAGGAACAGUCAGCAUGGAUUCACCAAGGGGAAGUUGUGCCUGACUAACCUAAUUGCCUUCUAUGAGGAGAUAACUGGCUCCGUGGAUGAGGGGAAAGCAGUGGAUGUGUUAUUCCUUGACUUUAGCAAAGCUUUUGAUACGGUCUCCCACAGUAUUCUUGCCGCCAAGUUAAAGAAGUAUGGGCUGGAUGAAUGGACUGUAAGGUGGAUAGAAAGGUGGAUAGAUUGUCGGGCUCAACAGGUAGUGAUCAAUGGCUCCAUGUCUAGUUGGCAGCUGGUUUCAA
rnacentral:lncRNA from 1 species